rnacentral:misc_RNA from 1 species
GUGAAUCAUCGAAUCUUUGAACGCAAAUUGCGCCUUUUUCGGAAGGCAUGUCUGUUUGAGGGCACCAUUUAACAAAUAAUGUGCAGCGUUUUUUGUUGCACACGUUGAUGAGCUUUCCAAGAAUUUUAAAUUUUUGGGGGCGCUUAAUGAACGCGGUGAAAGUUUUUUUCAGUUCGAUGGUAUAAAAAUCUUUCCUUGGAUUUUAAAAAAACAUAAUCGC